GGGUUGAAUCAAUAAAACAAGUGACAGCUCAUGCUGGUGGGGAUAUGGAGUAAGAGGAACAUUCCUUCAUUGUUGGUGGCAGUGCAAAUUUGUAUGGCCACAAAGGAAAUCACUGUGGCAGCUUCUCAGAAAGAUGGUAAUCUAUCUACCUCAGGAUCCAGCUGUAGAUUCAGAGGAUGCUUCAUCUUACCACAGAGAAACUUGCUCAGCCACGGGCACUCCUGCCAUAUUCUUUAUAGCCAGAAAUUGGAAAGAACCUAGAUUCAACAGAAGAAUAGACACAUAAAAUGUAGUACUUUACACAAUGGACUAUUACUCUGCCAUUAAAAAAGAAAGAAGAAA
rnacentral:lncRNA from 1 species